rnacentral:lncRNA from 1 species
UAUCUCUGCACUGAUCAUCUAGGAGAUGUGACUCUUGUCUAAGCUCUGCCUACAGGGGCAUUGGGACAUAUCUCUGCACUGAUCACUGAGAUGAUGUAACACUUGUCAAGGCUUUGCCUACAGUGAGAUUUAUGACAUAUCUCUGCACUGAUCACCCAGUUGAUGUAACUCUUGUCUAGGCUCAGCUUACAGGGGGUAUUGUGAGAUAUCUCUGCACUGAUCACCCAGGUGAUGUAACUCUUGUUAGGCUCUGCCUACAGGGGCAUUUUAACAUAUCACUGCACUGAUCACCGAGAUGAUGUAACUUGUACAGGCUUCGCUGACAGAGGUCUUUGAGACAUAUCACUUCACUGAUCACCGAGGUGAUGCAACUCUUGUCUGGGAUCUGCCUACAGGGGGCAUUGUGACAUAUCUCUGCAUUGAUCACCGAGGUGAUGUAACUCUUGUCUAGGCUCUGCCUGCUGGAGACAUUGUGACAUAUCUCUGCACUGAUCACCCAGGUGAUGUAACUCUUGUCUAGGCUCUGCCUACAUGGACAUUGUGACAUGUCUCUGCACUGAUCACCCAGGUGAUGUAACCAUUGUCUAGGAUCUGCCUAAAGGGACUUUGUGACAUAACUCUGCACUGAUUAUCCAGGUGAUGUGGCUUUUUUCUAGGCUCUGCCUAUGGGGACAUUGUGACGUGUUUCUGCCCUGAGCACCCAGGUGAUGGACUCUUGUCUUGCGUCUGCCUAUGGGGGCUUUGUGACAUAUCUCUGCACUGAUCACCCAGGUGAUGUAACUGUUGUAUAAGCUCUGCCUACAGGGGAAUUGUGAGAGA